GUUGGCCGAACCUCUCUUCAACCCGGAUGAGCUUCCUCAUCUGAGGUCGGCGGAGUGGCUCCCAGCGGACCAUGUAGCCAAGUACCUUUAAAAUUGGGUACGACACCCCCUCAGUAAAGCGGCACGGAACAAACUGAGGGCAGAUUGCCCAAGGCUUACGGUGCCAAAUAAAGUCUGUGAUACCCCUGAAGUUGAUCCGAAAAUGACCCAGUUCCUAACUAAAU